rnacentral:misc_RNA from 1 species
AAGGAUCAUUACAGAGUUCGUGCCCUUCGGGGUAGACCUCCCACCCUUUGUAUACAUACUAUUGUUGCUUCGGCGGCACGCCGCAAGGCCCUCGGCUUCGGCUGGGGCGUGGCCGCCGGAGAACCCUAAACCCUGAAUUACAGUGUCGUCUGAGUACUAUAUAAUAGUUAAAACUUUCAACAACGGAUCUCUUGGUUCUG